rnacentral:rRNA from 1 species
UGGGGAAUAUUGGGCAAUGGGCGAAAGCCUGACCCAGCAACGCCGCGUGAAGGAAGAAGGUUUUCGGAUUGUAAACUUCUGUCCUCAGGGAAGAAGGACGUGACGGUACCUGAGGAGGAAGCCCCGGCUAACUACGUGCCAGCAGCCGCGGUAAUACGUAGGGGGCGAGCGUUGUCCGGAAUGACUGGGCGUAAAGGGCGCGUAGACGGCUGUCUAAGUCUGGAGUGAAAGUCCUGUUUUCAAGGCGGGAAUUGCUUUGGAGACUGGAUGGCUUGAGUGCGGAAGAGGUAAGUGGAAUUCCCAGUGUAGCGGUGAAAUGCGUAGAGAUUGGGAGGAACACCAGUGGCGAAGGCGACUUACUGGGCCGUAACUGACGUUGAAGCGCGAAAGCGUGGGGAGCGAACAG